ensembl:snRNA U1 U1 spliceosomal RNA
GUCCUUACCUGUUGGGGGAGGGGCCAUGAUCCUGAAGGUGGUGUCCCAGGACAUGGCUUCCAUGCAAACUGACAUGGAACCAGAUGUGCUGACUCUGCCCGUUUCCCCAAUUUGGGAAACUUGACUGCAUAAUUUGUGGUAGUGGGGGACUUGUUCAAGCUCUCCCG